UACAGGGGGUGCGAGCGUUAAUCGGAAUUACUGGGCGUAAAGCGCGCGUAGGCGGUUUUGUAAGUCGGAUGUGAAAGCCCCGGGCUUAACCUGGGAACUGCAUUCGAGACUGCAUGACUGGAGUAUUGGAGAGGGCAGUGGAAUUUCCGGUGUAGCGGUGAAAUGCGUAGAUAUCGGAAGGAACAUCAGUGGCGAAAGCGACUGCCUGGCCAAAUACUGACGCUCAUGUGCGAAAGCGUGGGGAGCAAAACAGGAUUAGAUACCCGUGUAGU
rnacentral:rRNA from 1 species